GACGAACGCUGGCGGCGUGCUUAACACAUGCCAGUCGAACGGAAAGGCCCUGCUUUUGUGGGGUGCUCGAGUGGCGAACGGGUGAGUAACACGUGAGUAACCUGCCCUUGACUUUGGGAUAACUUCAGGAAACUGGGGCUAAUACCGGAUAGGAGCUCCCGCUGCAUGGUGGGGGUUGGAAAGUUUCGGCGGUUGGGGAUGGACUCGCGGCUUAUCAGCUUGUUGGUGGGGUAGUGGCUUACCAAGGCUUUGACGGGUAGCCGGCCUGAGAGGGUGACCGGCCACAUUGGGACUGAGAUACGGCCCAGACUCCUACGGGAGGCAGCAGUGGGGAAUAUUGCACAAUGGGCGGAAGCCUGAUGCAGCAACGCCGCGUGCGGGAUGACGGCCUUCGGGUUGUAAACCGCUUUCGCCUGUGACGAAGCGUGAGUGACGGUAAUGGGUAAAGAAGCACCGGCUAACUACGUG
rnacentral:rRNA from 1 species